rnacentral:lncRNA from 10 species
AGAAAACUGAGAUUUAAAAAAAUUAAGGUUAAUUAAGGUUAUUAUAUCCAUGUAACUUUCUGUAUUUCUUUUAAAGUUCUUGUGCUACUAAUUUUCAGGGCUUUGACUCCUGAGUCUAAAAAGGUCACUAACUCCCGCUAAAUUGAGAGCAAUUGAAGCCUCAUCUUCAGAUCUAGGAGAAGAUGAAAAUCAGAAUAAGCUGCAGUCAUGAGACAUGGCGCCAGAAAUUAAGACUAUUCAAACCCUCUAGUCCCAGGGACUAUUGAAGAAGAAGUGGGUGUGUAAGCUUGUAAGGACCUAUUUUAACAGAUAAAAUUAGUUCAGUUUCUGUAUAAUUUAUGAUAAGGUCUAGAUCUGUCACCCAGGCUGGAGUACAGUGGCAUAGUCCUAGCUCACUGCAACCUCCACCUCCCAGGCUCAAGUGAUCCUACCACCUCAGCCUCCUAAGAAGCUGGGACUAUAGAUGUGCACCAACACGCAUGGCUAAUUUUUGUAUUUUUUGUAGACACCGUGUUUCGCCAUGUUGCCCAGGCUGGUCUCAAACUCCUGAGCUCAAGCAGUCUGCCUGCCUAGACCGCCCAAAGUGCUGAGUUUACAGGUGCGAG